UACGUAGGAUGCAAGCGUUGUCCGUAUUUAUUGGGUUUAAAGGGUGCGUGGGCGGCCUAUUAAGGUAGUGGUGAAAACGUUCGGCUUAACCGGAUACCCGCCAUUGAUACUGAUAGACUUGAAUGCGACAGAGGGUGUUGGAAUGUGUGGUGUAGCGGUGAAAUGCUUAGAUAUCACGCAGAACACCAAUUGCGAAGGCAGAUGCCUAUGUCGUAACUGACGCUGAGGCACGAAAGCGUGGGGAGCAAACAGG
rnacentral:rRNA from 1 species